AUUGUUAUGCAGCUCGAGAAUAAUUUACUCGUAGAGGUCAACGAACAUCCAAAUUUAUAUUCUAUGCCUACUGUUCCUACUGCGAUUCUCUGUUGCGCAUACGAUGCCGAGAACACGUAUUGUAACAAGAAAACCGUUAGAUCUUCGACUGUGGCCGACCAGCCGAAUGGAAAGAGGGAAUCUUUGCAACCGGUGGUUGCACUCCGCUGCCAGCUAUCAUUUUAUGUAAUGUUUCAGGUAGAAAAGUAUCUACAUAAGGUUUAUGCCAAAUGCAUAAAUUAGAAAUUUUUCUGGAUGAGUAGUCACGUCAAUGAAACUUCUAACAUGAUCUCGAGAGGCUGCAAUCGGCAUUAAAAACUAUCUGGCAUAAUGGCGCGAGUUGCGACACUACACGUAGGUGUCGAUGGAAGGCGCAAUGGACUUAGGCGUACGAUGCGGUAAUUUCGUUUCCAAGCGAGAGAAGAUGAGCACAUGAGAUGCAAACAAGAGCGCGAAUUGAGAUCGAGCGAAGAAAGUUAAACGAAGAGAGAAGAAAAAAACAGAUAUGGAAGAAAUCUGACGUCCCGACCUGGCAGAGACAUAGAACGAGAGCGAG